rnacentral:rRNA from 1 species
UACGUAGGGUGCAAGCGUUGUCCGGAAUUAUUGGGCGUAAAGAGCUCGUAGGCGGUUUGUCGCGUCUGCUGUGAAAACCCGAGGCUCAACCUCGGGCCUGCAGUGGGUACGGGCAGACUAGAGUGCGGUAGGGGAGAUUGGAAUUCCUGGUGUAGCGGUGGAAUGCGCAGAUAUCAGGAGGAACACCAAUGGCGAAGGCAGAUCUCUGGGCCGUAACUGACGCUGAGGAGCGAAGCGUGGGAGCAACAGG